rnacentral:lncRNA from 1 species
GUCUUCUUUCCAUAUUUCAGACUUUCUGGCUAUACAAAUUGAUUGUUUCUCUAAUUAUAGUCCCACCAUUUGAAUCAAAAUCUACUUGUAACCAUUGUUUCUGGUUGUGUGACUAUGUGCAUGCAUGGAUGUUUUGUGGGCAUGUCGGGUGUGUGUGUGUGUGUGUGUGUGUGUGUGUGUGUGUGUGUGUGUGUGAGACAGUUUCAGAAAACUGCAUGUGUGCAAGCAAGUUUAAGGUUAACUCCAAGACCACUUACUUUUCUACCAUGUGAUUUGUUUUGUUUUGUUGAGCCGAAUCAUUUGGCUGGAAAACAUCUGAUACAUUGUUGGGAGACGUCUUACAACAAGGAAACAGGAAAGGAAGAGAAAGACCUGCAGAGGCUGAUGCAAUACUCCAAGCUGUCAACCAUGGCCAUGAUGAGCUCAUUCUUAUGCCAGGUGAUGCCGGAGAACGUCAGAGCAACAGGCAGUAUCUCACAGACUUCCCCGUAACAGGCAUGCAUUCGCCCAUUGGAUCAACAUCUUUCAAUUUAUUAGCAUGAAAAGGACACAAUUAUUUUGGAUAUGCCUGAAUGCAAUUUUCAUUAACUUUGCAAUGAUUUAUUAACAAAAGUGUCAGGAAUGUAAUAAAAGCAGCAGGACUCCUUAAAAUGCCAAAAUAGAAAAAAAAAAUUGAAGAAUACGCUAGAAUUUCCCAACCCGCCUUACGGCACCAGGUCAAUAAGGUUGCCUGAUUCCAUCAAAAGCAUCAGCAUGGUGAGUGAACUCUGCAAUUAACAAAGAGUAAGCACAAAAAAUGCUAAUAUCUCAUUUGAAUGUAAUUAUGCACAGAUUACUGUUCACUGGAACAAGAAAAGGGAUUUUAAUUGUCAUCCAAAGUUACACGCAAACCUAGAUUCCUGUUAACUUUUUUUUGGGGGGUGGGGUUGGGGUGUUCAUGUGAGAGUAAAGUAGACAAUUCACAAUUCCUAUGUUCAGGGACAUUGGAAAAGGCAAUGCCUUUGUUUAAGAGAUACAACAUCACAAAGUUUUAAAAUAGCAUCAUCCCAUGUAUAUUGGCAAGGUUAGUUUGUAAUAAGUUUCACCAUCGUUUGCAUUUUAAUACUAUUUGAUCUCAUUUACAUGUUUAAAUUUGUUCCUGUAAUAAAAUUCAUUAGUAUGUUUAUCAUAACUACAUAAUGAAUAUAGCCCUUAUGUAAAAUAAAAAAUUGAAAGUACAUUAGAGACAUUACAAGCUGUUUGAAAUUACUGUGCUUUGCAUAUUAUACCUUAUUAAUUAAAUUAUAAAUUAUUUAUUUAUGUUAUUUCCUUAAUCAGGGGCAAGCACUAGAACAAUAUUAUAUUAGUAUAAGAAACACAACACAACUCAAAGCUAAAUCACACGUGGACCAAUUUUCCAUACAGAGGCACGCUGAUCCAUUUUGCCUUGGGGUGGCCAAUGCCUCUCCCCUGCUGUGCAUCAAGGGCUGCAGAGAGCUGUUAGAAGGAGGC